rnacentral:lncRNA from 1 species
UUUUGAUCAUUUUUGUAGCCCUUCUUUGGGCCUUCUCCAUCUGUGUCUUUCUGUGGAAACCAGAACUGGACACAGUUCUUGAGGUACAGCCUGACAAGCUUUGAGUAGAGUAGUGUGAUCACAUCUCUAUCUCUGCUAGUAAAGCCCUGCAGAUGCAAUACAGGAUCUGAUUUGCCUCCGUGCCUGAAGUGGAAUUCUGCUGACUCAUGCUGACUUGCUGACACAAGGACCCUCAACUCUCUUUCAACAAGGCUGUUCCCCACCUACACAAAUCUUACGGUGUCCAAGGUGCAGGACCUUCCACUUGUCUUUGUUAAACUUCAUAUAGUUUCUUCUUGCUCACUCUACUAGUCUUUUUGUAAGAUGGUUCACCCUUCCGAAGUGUCUGUGGUGUAAAUGCCUGAAGUAACUAGGAAAAUAAAACCAACAUUCACACUUUUAAGGAAAAGGUACAGGAAAGACAUGUGCAGUUACCUUCAUGUAUUUCCAUGUGUUUAUGCUGGUUACUUACAUAGGUUAGAAAACCUCAUAAGUCAAUCACAUUCUUUUGUUUGUGGCCAUUCAUUUCAUUAUUCAAUUGGUGGACUGUUAUGGAGAUCCUAAGAGCUGAUGUGUAACAAGGUUUUGGAAAACAACUGCAAUUGCAGAAGAGUGAUAGCAGUUUAAUGUAGCGAUGUAUUGUGUAAUGUCAUUACUUUGUUUUGUUGUUGUUGUUUUUAUUAUUUUGUUGUUUUGUUUUUUUUUUUUAACCAAUAUUAGUUAUUUUAUAUAAGAUUAGUUAUUUAUAUAAUUAAUUUAUAUAAUUAAUUUAAGGCUUUUUUUUUUGUUAAGAUGUUUAUGUUGGAAGGAAAUAACAUAAUGUGAAAUGUAUGGCUUCUCCAUGAACCUCUAAUUUAAAGAUCUUCUGUAAGAACAAAUAUUCAGAUUUCAAUGCUCACUUCAAAGUUGUUAAAAAUGUCCCAGUAAAUAUUUUUACAUAAAUAUUUUGACUUUAAAACAAAGUUCUUAUUUGUUUAAAACAAACAAACAAACAAACAAAAAUCACAACCAAUCUGUAGUGUAGAAGAAACCGUUACUUUAGGGCAGUUGUAUACACAAUUAGUUAGCUUGUCCCCACUUUUGGUUCUGUUUGUUCUGGCCUCUUCAGCUGGUCCUGCUAAUUUCUAUAAUAAUCAAUAACAAAAAUGUAACUUCUGAGUUCCAGAGAAGUAAGUAAAAUUUUUAUCAUUACUGCUGCGGAAUAGUAAAAAAUAAAAGAUGUAUAUAAGUAGGCGCUACA